UUUAGGACCUCACAGGAGGUGAAGAAAGGAGGUACGGGACAGCCAUGUGUUAUGUUUAGGACCUCACAGGAGGUGAAGAAAGGAGGUACGGGACAGCCAUGUGUUAUGUUUAGGACCUCACAGGAGGUGAAGAAAGGAGGUACGGGACAGCCAUGUGUUAUGUUUAGGACCUCACAGGAGGUGAAGAAAGGAGGUACGGGACAGCCAUGUGUUAUGUUUAGGACCUCACAGGAGGUGAAGAAAGGAGGUACGGGACAGCCAUGUGUUAUGUUUAGGACCUCACAGGAGGUGAAGAAAGGAGGUACGGGACAGCCAUGUGUUAUGUUUAGGACCUCACAGGAGGUGAAGAAAGGAGGUACAGGACAGCCAUGUGUUAUGUUUAGGACCUCACAGGAGGUGAAGAAAGGAGGUACGGGACAGCCAUGUGUUAUGUUUAGGACCUCACAGGAGGUGAAGAAAGGAGGUACGGGACAGCCAUGUGUUAUGUUUAGGACCUCACAGGAGGUGAAG